UCGCGCAUGGGGUGGUUUCACAAUCCACUGCCUUAAUCCACUUGGCUACAUCCGCC
rnacentral:tRNA from 1 species